rnacentral:misc_RNA from 1 species
GAUGAAGAACGCAGCGAAAUGCGAUAAGUAAUGUGAAUUGCAGAAUUCAGUGAAUCAUCGAAUCUUUGAACGCACAUUGCGCCCCCUGGUAUUCCGGGGGGCAUGCCUGUCCGAGCGUCAUUACAACCCUCAAGCUCAGCUUGGUGUUGGGCCCCGCCGCCCCGGCGGGCCCUAAAGUCAGUGGCGGUGCCGUCCGGCUCCGAGCGUAGUAAUUCUUCUCGCUCUGGAGGUCCGGUCGUGUGCUCGCCAGCAACCCCCAAUUUUUUUCAGGUUGACCUCGGAUCAGGUAGGGAUACCCGCUGAACUUAAGCAUAUCAAUAAGCGGAAGA